GAGUUUCUUCUUAAAUAGUUUACAUCUUAUCAAAGAGGAAAGAUAAAACAGUGUCGUAGGCGGUUUAAUAAAUAACCGUUUAUUUGAAUUGAAAAAUACCUAGAGUUCGGCGUCGAAACCCAUCACAUUUUCGGGGCGGAGGUAAAUUCCUCAUCAACAAGUAAAACUAUAUAAUCCGACAGGUAUUUUCCUCACCAAAUUUAAGGGUUCGUAUUAAUCUGGUCUCUUGGUGGAGAGACGGAGAUCUUGUCACUGACGAGACUGAGUAUUUUUCCGAUCGGCGGAAAUCCCAGAGCGUCCUCAAAAUUGACAAGCUCACUCGUUCACACCUCCUGGCCAUAUACAGCUGUGAGGCCAGCAACAGUCGUCUUCAACCACCCCUUGUUGUACGAACUGCAAUCGAUAUGUACCUGAGACCCCUAGAAGUCACACUUAUUGGAAACAAUCCAGAGUUCAGUGCUGGAAGAAGAUACAACAUUACCUGUCGGUGUCGAGGUUCGAGGCCCCCAGCAAUAAUUACUUGGUGGAAG